rnacentral:lncRNA from 1 species
GGCUGCCAGUCCAUUGCUCAUCAGGCCCUCUCUGGGCUUACUUUGUGGUUUUGGAGUCAGUUUCACUCCUGAGGAGCCAGGCUUGGCGUGGCCUACUGUUUUGUGCAUUUCUCUGAGUUGCCUUUCUGUUUCUCUGUGCUUUAUAGCUUUCCUGUCACCUCUUUCCUGAUUCUUGGAGCUCUUGCUCUCUUCCUGUCCUUGCGGUAUAGUUUCCCUUUCUAACUCCUAGCUUUCCGCUCACAGCAUACAGGACAUUCUUCAUUGGCUAGAAAUGAUGUCUUUGACAAAUAGCGUGCAGAUUUGACUUUGGUAAUUCAAGACACUUUUGUUUGUUUGCUCGUUUUGUUGCUGUGUUGGGGAGGGAACUCAGGGCCUCUCACAUACCAGGGAAUUGCUCUGCCACUGAGCUACACACCCCAGCCCCAGGUUUUAGUUUUAAUGUACAGCACUAGGGAGCUUGCUAUGGAUGAAGCCCUGUACGACGUCUGUUAGUAAAGCAAGAAAGCCUUCAAAAUCAUAUAAUUACUUGCUACCCACCUCCCAAUUUCUAAUUACUACAUAUAAUAUAAUAUAAUAUAAUAUCAGAUGGCCUUGACUCAAGGCUUACCUGAACAUGGGCCACUUCAUUGUCUAUUCUUUGCAGCCUUUUGUAAAAGAAAUCGCACAUCCUAAGUUCGAAGCCUGGACCUGGCCAACAUCUCAGCAAGAUGAAAGCCUUGGCCCUUACAAAUGGCUUUUGUCUCAGCCUCGAAACCCUCAUGUGACACCCUGAGAUCGCACCUGACUGACCAUCUCAAAAAAGAACCAGAACAAUCUCCUUGUGCUUUCCCUGAGCUGGUGAAGCUGGUAAAAAUCACUGAAAAUGAGGAAAGUAAAUUAACACAAGGAAGAAGCAGGACAAGGGGGAUUCUGUCCUCCUGACUACUGAGUUAACUGCAAUGAAAACAAAGUACAAAGGACUGCUAGUUCUGUGCAUAUAUUUACAUAGAAAUGUGCAAUUUUUUUUAAAAGGGGCCUUCCUGGUGUUUCUUUACUUAUGGGUUUAAUUUUUUAUCUCCUCAAUGUCCACCAGGAGGGCUCUGUUAAUAUUUACGUCGUGGGCCUUCCUGAGGAUGAGUUCAUUUCAGUCAUUGCUAAUCAACAGCCUUACUAUGAUGUCUUCUUUAUCCUGUAACAUUCCUAUUAUCCCUAACUCUUCAAAAAUACUCUUAG